rnacentral:rRNA from 1 species
CCUACGUGUGUCAGCAGUGAGGAAUCUUGGUCAAUGGGCGCGAGCCUGAACCCGCCAAGUAGCGUGAAUGGUGACUGCCCUACGGGUUGUCAACUUCUUUUAUAAAGGAAUAAAGUGAGGCACGUGUGCCUUUUUGUAUGUACUUUAUGAAUAAGGAUCGGCUAACUCCGUGCCAGCAGCCGCGGUAAUAAGGAGGAUCCGAGCGUUAUCCGGAUUUAUUGGGUUUAAAGGGAGCGUAGAUGGGUUGUUAAGUCAGUUGUGAAAGUUUGCGGCUCAACCGUAAAAUUGCAAUUGAUACUGGCAGCCUUGAGUACAGUUGAGGUAGGCGGAAUUCGUGGUGGAGCGGUGAAAUGCUUAGAUAUCACGAAGAACUCCGAUUGCGAAGGCAGCUUACUAAACUGCCACUGACAUUGAUGCUCGAAAGUGUGGGUAUCAAACAGGAUGAGAUACCCUUGUAGUC